rnacentral:rRNA from 1 species
UGAACGUGCUUGCACGGACUUGACGUUGGUUUACCAGCGAGUGGCGGACGGGUGAGUAACACGUAGGUAACCUGCCCCAAAGCGGGGGAUAACAUUUGGAAACAGAUGCUAAUACCGCAUAACAAUUUGAAUCGCAUGAUUCAAAUUUAAAAGAUGGCUUCGGCUAUCACUUUGGGAUGGACCUGCGGCGCAUUAGCUUGUUGGUAGGGUAACGGCCUACCAAGGCUGUGAUGCGUAGCCGAGUUGAGAGACUGAUCGGCCACAAUGGAACUGAGACACGGUCCAUACUCCUACGGGAGGCAGCAGUAGGGAAUCUUCCACAAUGGGCGCAAGCCUGAUGGAGCAACACCGCGUGAGUGAAGAAGGGUUUCGGCUCGUAAAGCUCUGUUGUUAGAGAAGAACGUGCGUGAGAGCAACUGUUCACGCAGUGACGGUAUCUAACCAGAAAGUCACGGCUAACUACGUGCCAGCAGCCGCGGUAAUACGUAGGUGGCAAGCGUUAUCCGGAUUUAUUGGGCGUAAAGCGAGCGCAGGCGGUUUGAUAAGUCUGAUGUGAAAGCCUUUGGCUUAACCAAAGAAGUGCAUCGGAAACUGUCAGAC